rnacentral:rRNA from 1 species
GACGAACGCUGGCGGCGUGCCUAAUACAUGCAAGUAGAACGCUGAAGGAGGAGCUUGCUUCUCUGGAUGAGUUGCGAACGGGUGAGUAACGCGUAGGUAACCUGCCUGGUAGCGGGGGAUAACUAUUGGAAACGAUAGCUAAUACCGCAUAAGAGUAGAUGUUGCAUGGCAUUUGCUUAAAAGGUGCAAUUGCAUCACUACCAGAUGGACCUGCGUUGUAUUAGCUAGUUGGUGAGGUAACGGCUCACCAAGGCAACGAUACAUAGCCGACCUGAGAGGGUGAUCGGCCACACUGGGACUGAGACACGGCCCAGACUCCUACGGGAGGCAGCAGUAGGGAAUCUUCGGCAAUGGACGGAAGUCUGACCGAGCAACGCCGCGUGAGUGAAGAAGGUUUUCGGAUCGUAAAGCUCUGUUGUAAGAGAAGAACGAGUGUGAGAGUGGAAAGUUCACACUGUGACGGUAUCUUACCAGAAAGGGACGGCUAACUACGUG